rnacentral:lncRNA from 1 species
CUUGUCUGGAUAGAGAAAUACCCACAAAUCUGUUGAACAUGUGUCUUUUCACAGAUACUCCUUUGUGAACUCCAACCCUCUUCUCCAUACAUAGAAGACAGGAAUAGCACACCCUCGCUGAUGUGUUAAAGUCCACUGGAAAUUAACUCCAGGUCUGGAUAGACCAUUAUGGUCAUGCCAUGAAAAAAAAACAUACUCCUUCUUAGGCUCCUACUAAAUACCUUACGUUUACUACUCUUUGAGGUAAAAAGGGGUUCAUCUGCCGAAUUAGUGAAGUUUGUGAAAUUUCAGAAUUUAUCUUGUGAAUAUGAGCCUAUGUUCUUCCAAGUCAGGCCUAUCUACUCAUAGCCUGAAAUUUCAAAAACCAUAAAU